CUUAUUGUUUUACUCCUCCUUAAUAUGGCAAACAUAAAAGAUAUACCAAUUGGAUAUCAUAUUGCAAUUCAUAGUAUUUUACAUCAUGGAUAUGAGUUAUUUUGCAUGCACAUAAUUAAAAGCAAUUCAAUUUGAAAGUCAUUCAUUGAAAGUCAAGGAGUAUAUAUUUAUAAUCAAAAAGUGACUGAUUACAUAGUUGUUCCAAUACAUAUACCAAAAUACAAAAGUCAAUCAGUCAACAUCAUUACAUGGCCCAAAAGAUAGUUUCUAGACUAAAACUAAAAAAAAGACUAACUACUCAGGAUCUAGUAGAGAUCAUGACUGGAUGGAUCAGAGUCAGAUG
rnacentral:lncRNA from 1 species